UGCGUAGGCGGCUUUUUAAGUCGGAUGUGAAAUCCCUGAGCUUAACUUAGGAAUUGCAUUCGAUACUGGGAAGCUAGAGUAUGGGAGAGGAUGGUAGAAUUCCAGGUGUAGCGGUGAAAUGCGUAGAGAUCUGGAGGAAUACCGAUGGCGAAGGCAGCCAUCUGGCCUAAUACUGACGCUGAGGUACGAAAGCAGUGGGGAGCAAACA
rnacentral:rRNA from 1 species